GACGAACGCUGGCGGCGUGCCUAAUACAUGCAAGUAGAACGCUGAAGGAGGAGCUUGCUUCUCUGGAUGAGUUGCGAACGGGUGAGUAACGCGUAGGUAACCUGCCUGGUAGCGGGGGAUAACUAUUGGAAACGAUAGCUAAUACCGCAUAAUAGUAGAUGUUGCAUGACAUUUGCUUAAAAGGUGCAAUUGCAUUACUACCAGAUGGACCUGCGUUGUAUUAGCUAGUUGGUGGGGUAACGGCUCACCAAGGCGACGAUACAUAGCCGACCUGAGAGGGUGAUCGGCCACACUGGGACUGAGACACGGCCCAGACUCCUACGGGAGGCAGCAGUAGGGAAUCUUCGGCAAUGGACGGAAGUCUGACCGAGCAACGCCGCGUGAGUGAAGAAGGUUUUCGGAUCGUAAAGCUCUGUUGUAAGAGAAGAACGAGUGUGAGAGUGGAAAGUUCACACUGUGACGGUAUCUUACCAGAAAGGGACGGCUAACUACGUGCCAGCAGCCGCGGUAAUACGUAGGUCCCGAGCGUUGUCCGGAUUUAUUGGGCGUAAAGCGAGCGCAGGCGGUUAGAUAAGUCUGAAGUUAAAGGCUGUGGCUUAACCAUAGUACGCUUUGGAAACUGUUUAACUUGAGUGCAAGAGGGGAGAGUGGAAUUCCAUGUGUAGCGGUGAAAUGCGUAGAUAUAUGGAGGAACACCGGUGGCGAAAGCGGCUCUCUGGCUUGUAACUGACGCUGAGGCUCGAAAGCGUGGGGAGCAAACAGG
rnacentral:rRNA from 1 species